AGACCCGAAACCCGGUGAUCUAGCCAUGGGCAGGUUGAAGGUUGGGUAACACUAACUGGAGGACCGAACCGACUAAUGUUGAAAAAUUAGCGGAUGACCUGUGGCUGGGGGUGAAAGGCCAAUCAAACCGGGAGAUAGCUGGUUCUCCCCGAAAGCUAUUUAGGUAGCGCCUCGUGAAUUCAUCUCCGGGGGUAGAGCACUGUUUCGGCUAGGGGGCCAUCCCGGCUUACCAACCCGAUGCAAACUGCGAAUACCGGAGAAUGUUAUCACGGGAGACACACGGCGGGUGCUAACGUCCGUCGUGAAGAGGGAAACAACCCAGACCGCCAGCUAAGGUCCCAAAGUCAUGGUUAAGUGGGAAACGAUGUGGGAAGGCCCAGACAGCCAGGAUGUUGGCUUAGAAGCAGCCAUCAUUUAAAGAAAGCGUAAUAGCUCACUGGUCGAGUCGGCCUGCGCGGAAGAUGUAACGGGGCUAAACCAUGCACCGAAGCUGCGGCAGCGAACGUAUCACCCAAGACAACUUUACGGAGUUGACGAUUGACGGAGCGAAGCGACGUCAAAGCGUUCAUUAAAGUCGAGUUGGCUUAGGGAUACGUUCGUUGGGUAGGGGAGCGUUCUGUAAGCCUGUGAAGGUGUGUCGUGAGGCAUGCUGGAGGUAUCAGAAGUGCGAAUGCUGACAUAAGUAACGAUAAAGCGGGUGAAAAGCCCGCUCGCCGGAAGACCAAGGGUUCCUGUCCAACGUUAAUCGGGGCAGGGUGAGUCGACCCCUAAGGCGAGGCCGAAAGGCGUAGUCGAUGGGAAACGGGUUAAUAUUCCCGUACUUGGUGUUACUGCGAAGGGGGGACGGAGAAGGCUA
rnacentral:rRNA from 1 species